rnacentral:rRNA from 1 species
UACGGGGGGAGCAAGCGUUGUUCGGAUUUACUGGGCGUAAAGGGCGCGUAGGCGGCAUAUUAAGUCAUCUGUGAAAUCUCCGAGCUUAACUCGGAACUGUCAGCUGAUACUGAUGUGCUAGAGUGCGGAAGGGGCAAUCGGAAUUCUUGGUGUAGCGGUGAAAUGCGUAGAUAUCAAGAGGAACACCUGAGGUGAAGACGGGUUGCUGGGCCGACACUGACGCUGAGUGCGCGAAAGCCAGGGGAGCAAACGGG